rnacentral:lncRNA from 1 species
UCGCAUUUGCUGCCACCUGCCGUUCUUGGGGUACUGCUUUUGCCGGCUCCAUAGCAACAUUCCCACCUCUCCUUCUCCAACCUGAUGUCUCUUCUUCACCUCCUAAUGCUAGCCCCUUUAGCAACAACCUGGUGCCCAAUCGUCCAUAUCUUGUCACAGAUAUAGCCAAAGUCAACCAAGGUGCCAACCUUUGCUCUGAAAUUCCUCUACGUCUAGAAUGGUUUUCCUUCAUGGGGGCUUCCUUUGGCCAUCUCAUUUUGUUUAACAAAAAAUCUUGUAUCGUUGUUGAUGUGUCUAGAGGUGUUAGCGUCUCACCUCCACAUCUACCACUUGUUGAAUGUGCUGAGCCCAACUAUGGUGCCCUUACUGCUCCUCUCACAUCACCCAACUCUCAUCUCAUUAUCGAGGCUGGAUGUCACGGCCCGGCUGAUUGCCGCGCAGGUUGUAGUCGUGGUUGGUAGGAGGACGAGGGCGAGGCCCUCGCUUGCCUAUGGUUGGAGAAGGGGGUGAGGAGGGCGCCGUGGCGCAGGAGCAAGCGAGGAGAGGUUGUAGGAUAUUCUGCUUGCGUUUAUUGAUCCAAGGGCUGGCUAUAUAUAGCCUAAUUACAAGACCAGACUAAGACUCCUAUUACAAUUGGGUGUUGGCAGGGUAACCUUCUUUGGGACUAAACCUUUCCAACUAAUACCCAGACUCCUAAUCUAAAAAGACUGUAAUUAAACUAGGACAUAUCUUUUGGCAGGUGCAGGGCCGGCCCGUGCAGGUCCCUUACGCCUAUAGGGCUGGCCCCACAUGACAUCUCCCCCUCCAUUCUGAAGCAGCUCGUCCUCGAGCUUGAAGCUUGGAUAACGUUUGCGGAAGGUUGUAACAUCCUCCCAUGAAGCAGCAGACGCCGGCUGGCCCUCGCAGUGAAUGAGCACCUGCUGGAUACCGCGGGCAAUACGAGCACGCAAUGCUUGGACAGGGGUUGGAUGUACUCGACCCUGAAACAGAGGUGGAAGCAUCGGCGGAACUUCCGGCAGUGGGCCAUGGUACUUCUUCAGGACCCCGACAUGGAAAACAUUGUGAAUGCGGGCGCGUGGGGGCAACUCCAAACGGUAAGCAACCGUAUCGAUUUUAGCGAGGACUUUGAUAGGCCCAUAAUAUUUGGGAGCCGAUUUCCCUUUGGCGCCUACUCCAAGGAAUGUCGCCGGCCGGUGCUGAAGACGGAGCCAAACCCACUCUCCAACAUCAAUAGAAAGGGCCUGAUGCUUAUCAUCAUAGUAAUGCUUGUACUGUUGUGCUGCCUGAAGGAGACGCUCACGGAUGUCGUGUAAGAACUGAUUGCGGUCGACGAUCUGCCGUUCCACCGCCUGAUUACGAAUCUCGCCCGGCUUAUAGUCCCGGAAUGAGGGGGGAUCCCGUCCAUAAACCACCCUGAAAGGUGUGUCCUUCAACGCUAAGUGGUACGAAGUGUUGUAGCAGUACUCUGCCCAAGGCAACCAUUGGAGCCACUGCCGUGGGCGAUCCCCAGUUAUGCAACGGAGGUACAUGGUGAUGACGCGAUUGACAGCUUCAGAUUGCCCAUCAGACUGCGGAUGGAUGGCCGAACUCAUGUGCAAGCGUGUCCCCGCGGCGGCAAACAGAGCCUUCCAAAAGCCCGAAGUGAAAACCACAUCCCUGUCCGAAACGAUGGAUGUGGGAAACCCAUGAAGUCGGACAAUGUUGGAGAAGAAGGCUUUAGCAACAGACUCCGCAGUGUACGGAUGCGCCAAGGGGAUGAAAUGCACAUACUUGGAGAAACGGUCCACAACGGUCAGUAUCACACUUUUGCCGCCCACCUUCGGAAGUGCCUCAAUGAAAUCCAUGGAGAUGUCUUCCCAGACACGAGAGGGCACUGUCAAGGGCUGCAAUAAGCCGGCUGGAUGAAGCUGCUCCGUCUUGUUGCGUUGACAAACCUGACAAGCACGAAUAUACUGCUGAAGUGCGGCCCUUGCUUGCGGCAGAUGGAAAUCCCGGCGAAGACGAUGAAGUGACUUCUGGAUACCUUCAUGGCCCGCAUCAUGGGCUGCAGCCAGGACCUCCCCGAGCAGCGGCGACGCGGGUGGUACAUAAGCCCGUUGUUGGAAGGUAACAACACCAUCAACAAGAGCCCAAGGCUGUCCUAACUCACCAGAUUCUAGUUGUUCCCGGAAAGUGACAAGCGCCGGGUCCGUGUGUGCAGCCUGACGGAGAGCUUCAAACAGAUCAAAAGAAGGCCCGGAUAUGGCGAGUGCCUGGCCGGCAGGAGCAUCACGGCGAGAAAGAGCAUCGGCGACGAUGUUUGGGCGACCUGGUUUAUAUUCCACCGUGAAGUCGAACCCCAACAGUUUGCCCACCCAAUGAUGUUGUGGAAUGGUAGCGAGGCGUUGGUCCAGCAAAAACUUGCUGUAGUGGUCAGCUUUGACGACGAACGCACGUCCCCAAAGAUAGGGCCGCCAGUGGCGCACGGCGUGCACCAGACCAAUGAGCUCCCGCUCGUAAGCGGCGAGAGAAGCAUGACGCGGAGCGAUGGUUUUGCUGAAAUAGGCAAUGGGGCAGCCACCUUGAUGCAGGACUGCCCCAAAACCAGAUCCAGAUGCAUCACACUCCACAAUGAAUGAAACAGCAAAAUCCGGCAGCUGAAGCACAGGGGCUGUGGUCAGAGCUUUCUUGAGGGCUUCAAAGGCAAUAGUCGUUGCAGGCGUCUAAAGAAAUCCGUCUUUCUUGAGGAGUGCCGUGAGGGGAGCUGCAAUGGUGCCAAAAUCCCGGAUGAACUUGCGGUAGUAUCCUGCCAGUCCUAAGAAACCACGCACAGCGCGGACGGUGCGCGGAACCGGCCAGUCUACCACGGCAAGAACCUUGUCGCUGUCCAUGGCAACUCCUGCAGCGGAGAUGACGUGUCCCAGAUAAGCCAUGGUUUCCUCCCCAAAGGAACACUUGGAGCGCUUGAGAAACAGUUGAUGUGUGCGCAUAGCCUCCAAAACGAGCUUGACAUGACGUAGGUGAUCCGACCAGGACGAGCUGUAGAUCAAGAUAUCAUCGAAGAACACAAGCACAAACCGACGAAGGUAGGGACGGAGGACGUCGUUCAUGAGUGCUUGGAACGUCGCUGGGGCAUUUGUCAAACCAAAGGCCAUCACUACAAACUCAAAGAGGCCCUCAUGUGUGCGGAAGGCCGUCUUGUGGAUAUCCUCAGGGGCCAUCCGAACCUGGUGGUAACCCGAUCGGAGAUCCAGUUUGGUGAAAAAGCGGGCGCCCUUGAGUUCAUCCAGAAGUUCAUCGACAACAGGAAUUGGAAACUUGUCCUUGAUGGUGACAAGGUUGAGACCACGGUAGUCGAUACAGAAACGCCAAGUCCCGUCGGCCUUUCUGACGAGUAGAACGGGGGAUGAAAAUGCAGAAGAACUAGGACGGAUCAGACCGCGAGCUAGCAUCUCUGAACAUUGGUGCUCUAGUUCAUCUUUUUGAAUCGUUGGGUAGCGGUAGGGACGGACAGCAACCGGCGGUGUCCCAGGAAUAAGAUGAAUAUGAUGGUCAUGUGCGCGCUGCGGCGGCAGGCCCUGUGGGUCAGCGAAAACAUCGGUGAAAGUGGCCAGCAGGCUGUCCAGAAGUUCCUUGCCUUCGCACGCGUGUAGGUGGGCAGGACGUCCGAGGGAGCCGAGGCCCGACAACUCCACACGGUGAUUCGAGUGCCAAAACGACAUCCACUGCGUAGUGAAAUCCCAGAGAAUUGUCCCAAGAGUUUUGAGGAAUCAUGUACCGAAGACGAUGUCGAACCCGCCCAAUGGAAUGGCAUGUAGAUCAACAACGAAACGCUCCUUGUCAAUGGUGAUCGCAGCCUGCUGAAGGAGUCCCCGACAGGUCACCUUAUCGCCAUUAGCGACCGUGACUCCCAAACGACGAUUGGAGGAGAAAGGCAGCCUGACGAUGGUGGCCAACUCUUCGUGGAUGAAGUUAUGAGCGCUGCCUGAAUCAAGCAAGGCGACCAAGUCACGGUCCCCGAUGCGAAGAGUGACCUGCAUUGUGUCGCUGGUGGGAAUUCCGGUAACAACCAAGAGUGAGAUUUGUGCUUCCUGGAAAUCCUCAAACUGCUCCUCUUCGGCGUCGGCGGAUUGAAUAUAGAACAGCCGUUUGCAGCGAUGGCCCCGCGCGAACUUCUCGUCACAAUUGAAGCAGAGACCCUUAGCGCGCCGUUCAUCCAUCUCGGCGGGCGUGAGUCGUUUAAAGACGAGCGCGGGCGUGGAGUUGGAGGAGUCCGGCAAGGCCGGAGUAGGUGCAGCCAUGGGGUGGAGUGGACGGUUGGGCCGGCCCGGAGUGGUCGCGGUGCUGGUGACAGUAUUGAGGUGCUCAAAGGAGAUUGCAAGUCCAUAGCUGCGUCCAAAGUCGCCGGUUUCAGCAUCUCGACCUGAGUUUUCAUAGGCUCGCCCAAGUUGUUGGUGAAGAUAUCCCGCUCAUCGUCGUUAGCAAUGGGGCGCACCCAAGAGAGAUUCUCUAGAAAGCGCUUGGAGUAUUCUGCCACGGUGCUAGAGCGGCGGGUGGAGAUCAGCUCGCCAAAGGGGUUGGCGCGGGUCGGCGGUCCGAAGUGGUUGGCGAUCAGUUUUUGAAACUCGGUCCAGGACGGCCGCUGGCCCAGCUUAGUCUCGAGGUGGCCAUACCAUAAUGCGGCGACAUCGGUGAGGUGGUAUGAGGCGAGCCAAGUCUUAUCCGACUCCGGCGUUCGCUGCCCGAGGAAGAAGAGAUUGCAACGUGUCAGCCACGGCCGUGGAUCGCUGGCCCCGUCAAAGAGGGGAAAAUCAAUCUUGUAGAGGCGCGGAGCCCUAUCCCCUGGAUCGGCCGGGGCCCCGGUGUGGGAUGGCGCAUCUGGGGGCCGCAGGAGCCCGGUACCACCCAAUUUGAGGCGUGCCCUUGCCUUCCAGCCGAAGGAGGGCCAGGUUCUGCGCGCGCUGCUGCUGUGACGUGUCCGCCAGCUGGUCCUGGAGGGUUUUGAGUGUCGCGGCGAUGGACUGGAGGGUGGCGCGGUCCUCGGCGCGCUCUGUCCGAGCAGUGUGGUUCUCCUCCGAGAGGCUGUUCAAAGUGGCGACCACGGCCUCAUGAUCCUCGUGCUGUUUGGUCGCGAGGUCUGCUAGGGUUUGCGGUAGAGGCGCCGGCGGCGGUGGCAGAGACAUGGCCGCUGGGAUCGACGAGGAAGCUGAUACCAAGUUGUCACGGCCCGGCUGAUUGCCGCGCAGGUUGUAGUCGUGGUUAGUAGGAGGACGAGGGCGAGGCCCUCGCUUGCCUAUGGUUGGAGAAGGGGGUGAGGAGGGGCGCCGUGGCGCAGGAGCAAGCGAGGAGAGGUUGUAGGAUAUUCUGCUUGCGUUUAUUGAUCCAAGGGCUGGCUAUAUAUAGCCUAAUUACAAGACCAGACUAAGACUCCUAUUACAAUUGGGUGUUGGCAGGGUAACCUUCUUCGGGACUAAACCUUUCCAACUAAUACCCAGACUCCUAAUCUAAAAAGACUGUAAUUAAACUAGGACAUAUCUUUAGGCAGGUGCAGGGCCGGCCCGUGCAGGUCCCUUACGCCUAUAGGGCUGGCCCCACAUGACACUGGACCUCAUAAUCUGUUUUGGCGUGUUGGUAGCGACUCGUGGGUGAGAUGUUCUACUCGUCAUGGACAUAUCAAGCAAAUCGUG